rnacentral:rRNA from 1 species
UACGUAGGUGGCAAGGCGUUGUUCGGAAUUAUUGGGCGUAAAGAGCUCGUAGGCGGUUCGUCGCGUCGAAUGUGAAAACCCGGGGCUCAACUCCGGGCCUGCAUUCGAUACGGGCGGACUAGAGUUCGGUAGGGGAGACUGGAAUCCUGGUGGUAGCGGUGAAAUGGCGCGAUAUCAGGAGGAACACCUAUUGCGAAGGCAGCUCGCUGGGACGUUACUGACGCUGAGACGCGAAGCGUGGGGAGCAAACAGG